AGAGAGAAGAUUGUGGCUGACAAUACCAUCAGCAGUGGCGUGCUUUGUGAUUGUACUCACAGGACUCAUAUGUCUGUGCACAUUUGCAUACAAAAAAAGAUCUAAACAGUAAGUAUUUUCUUUAUGUACACAGUUUAUUUUAUAAUAAUAUACUAUAAAAAUUAAUAUUUGAUUGAAUUAAUAAAUAAUGCACUAAGAUUACUUUGUAUUAUUGCAAGUCAAAGAGCUGCAGGAGAUUCGCGUGCUUCUGGACCUGCAGAAAUAAACUCUCUCAUCACUUCUGUACCAGACACAUCUAAACCCACAGGAUCUGAUGAUGUUUUCACAAUGGUGAUCUACAGCACAUCAACCUGACAGCCUCAAAG